UACGUAGGGGGCAAGCGUUGUCCGGAUUUAUUGGGCGUAAAGAGCUCGUAGGCGGCUCAGUAAGUCGGGUGUGAAAGCCCCGAGCUCAACUCGGGGAGGCCACCCGAUACUGCUGUGGCUAGAGUCCGGUAGGGGGAGCGUGGAAUUCCCGGUGUAGCGGUGAAAUGGCGCAGAUAUCGGGAGGAACACCAGCGGCGAAGGCGGCGCUCUGGGCCGGAACUGACGCUGAGGAGCGAAAGCGUGGGGAGCGAACAGG
rnacentral:rRNA from 1 species